rnacentral:rRNA from 1 species
UAUACUCUCAGCAACGGAUAUCUCGGCUCU